rnacentral:lncRNA from 1 species
AAACUUUAAAAUGCUCUUAGGCUUCGUUUGGCAUUACGGGAAGAUUGUGUUACGUGCGGUGAAAAAGUAUGUUGGAAAAAUAUCCUGUUUGUUUUCGUACGUAAUAUUGCGUUCUGCAUAUUGCGAUGAGUCGGUUACGAUAUACUUUUUGCGGUCCCAUCAAAGAACGCAGAAGUAUAUCCCCAUAUACUUUUUUUUCAACUCUAUUUUAUUUUAUCUAAUAGCGUUUGAUAAGUCUCAAUACCAAACUAAGUCUUAAUUUUUUUUUUUUUAAAAAAGGAUAUUCUUUUUUGGUUAAUAAUG